UUGCUUACAACAUUUUAUCAAACAUUGAUAAAAAUCUCAUUAUAAUAUUUUGUACAUUGUAUAUAAUAGCCUACGUUUUUCACGACCUCCGUGGUUUUCUGUUGUAUUCAGCAAAACAAAGUGCGUAGUUGAAUAUAUUAAUGUGUUCUAUAGAAACUGUCGCGGUGUAACAUAGUAAUUUAUGGACACCCGAGACCAUUACGUCGGUUUCGGUUCUCUGUUAUGGAUAUUCUAAUUUAGUUUACUUUAGCUACUGAGGAAUUUCCGAAAGAAAUGCUGUUGAGCGUUCGAUGUUCGAUUUCCACUUUUACUGUGAACAUCCUGGGAAAAUGAUGACUGAGCCGAUAAUUUCGAUGAUGAUGAUGAUGAUGAUGAUGAUGAUGAUGAUGAUAAUGUUGGUUGUCGUCGUUAUAGCAAAGCUGUGGCCUCUGUCAUGACUGAUAAUGCUGAAGGUAGUGAUGAUGAUGAUGAUGAUGAUGAUGAUGAUGAUGAUGAUGAUGAUGAUGAUGACGAUGGGUGAAAAUAGGUGAAGGUAGAUAUGGCGAUGGCGGAGGAGAAGGUCGAGUUCAGAAAGGACGCCAUAUUUUUCACGACCAUAAAAGAGCCGUCACAGUUUUGUUAUCAAAAGUUGUUCAGAACAUGCCUGCUCAGCAUUUACUGCUAUGUCUUAGAGGAAUUGAUUUAAACAGCUUGAUUAAAUCUUCUGUAUAAUACUUAGUCAAAGAAUAUAUAAACCAUUACGUUCUGCCGAACCAGCGCUUUCAUUUUUGGCAACAAUAUCUGUCUCCAUUAUGGCAAACCAGUUUGCUAUGCACCAGCUUCUUAUCUUGUGGUGGAUGUCCCCUUCAGCCUUCCUGAGAAUAUAAUAGACAACCAGUGGUGAAAUUACUCUAAAGUGCAUAGGAGCGAUGUUAUAAUAAUUAUAAUAAUGGUUUCAAAUUUUGGCAUAAGGCUAUCAGUUUCAA